rnacentral:rRNA from 1 species
GAUAAACCGGAGGAAGGUGGGGAUGACGUCAAGUCAUCAUGGCCCUUACGACCAGGGCUACACACGUGCUACAAUGGCGCAUACAAAGAGAAGCGAACUCGCGAGAGCAAGCGGACCUCAUAAAGUGCGUCGUAGUCCG